rnacentral:lncRNA from 1 species
GCUUAUCAUUUUUAAUUUCUAAUUACCCCUUGUUUUUUCUUUCCAAUUGCAGGUGGUUGAACCGUCAGAGGAAAGUGUUCUCGCUUUACCAGAGGACACGUCCUACACUAGGUCGAUGCGACCUCUACUCCCUCUCUCUCCCAGAUCCGAGCACGGAGCACGGACACAAGCAUUCCCAUACGCCCACGGCCAGAGACUCCACAGCAGCGGAUUGUGUCACUUCAGGUG